rnacentral:rRNA from 1 species
UGGGGAAUUUUGGACAAUGGGGGAAACCCUGAUCCAGCCAUCCCGCGUGUGCGAUGAAGGCCUUCGGGUUGUAAAGCACUUUUGGCAGGAAAGAAACGUCGCGGGUUAAUACCCCGCGAAACUGACGGUACCUGCAGAAUAAGCACCGGCUAACUACGUGCCAGCAGCCGCGGUAAUACGUAGGGUGCAAGCGUUAAUCGGAAUUACUGGGCGUAAAGCGUGCGCAGGCGGUUCGGAAAGAAAGAUGUGAAAUCCCAGAGCUUAACUUUGGAACUGCAUUUUUAACUACCGGGCUAGAGUGUGUCAGAGGGAGGUGGAAUUCCGCGUGUAGCAGUGAAAUGCGUAGAUAUGCGGAGGAACACCGAUGGCGAAGGCAGCCUCCUGGGAUAACACUGACGCUCAUGCACGAAAGCGUGGGGAGCAAACAGGAUUAGAUACCCUGGUAGUCCACGCCCUAAACGAUGUCAACUAGCUGUUGGGGCCUUCGGGCCUUGGUAGCGCAGCUAACGCGUGAAGUUGACCGCCUGGGGAGUACGGUCGGCAAGAUUAAAACUC